AUGGUGAGCUCUUGGCCGGAGAGGACGUGGGGGUCGAUCUCAAGGACGCGCACGAAGCCAGAGAAGGCUGCCGGAAUGCAGAAUUUUGAUGCUGCAGGUGCUGACAAAAUAUCGAAAGUGAAGACAGAAACUGACAAUAAUGUAAUUAUGGAAGAGGCAGACUUUGAUUCUGUUGACGACAAGGUUGUUGAGCCCUGGAUGGCAACCGGUGGAGAGUUUGUCAAAUUAUUUCAGUGGAUGAGAUCUGCUAUUUCCUCCCAAUAUUCUGGACGGAGUGUACCAAGAGAGCCAGAAAUUCAGGGUGAAGUAUCGAAAUUGGAUGAACACCUACAAGGUCUUCGAGACACUUUGCCUGAAAUGUACGUCCUCAUUAAUGCAGCAGAGUGGAGGAGCUAUGAAGACUCUAUUGCUGAGAUCCUUCCAAAUUUAAGGAAUUCAGUGUAUGAUGCUGAAGACCUUCUUGAUGAGUUCAAAUGGUAUGAGCUGAAGGUGACAGUGGAGGGCAAUGCAAACCAAUGUCCUUUCAGUGAUUUCUUUAACGAUGUCAUUACAGGCAGCUUCAACGAGAAAGUGCAAUGUGUCCAGGAUAGGCUGGACGAUCUUUUGAAUCAGCUAGAGAAGAUGGGCUUGCAUGAAGAUAGUUAUGAAUCAGUCAGGAGGUUUGACAAAUCAGUUAGGCCAAAGACCACCUAUUUGCUGAAUGAGUCAGAAAUAUUUGGCGGUGCCCAGGAGCUGAAAAAGGUGAUUGGGUUUCUUACUGAACCUAACAAAAGUGGCAGUGCCCGUUCCAAACACAUGUCGGCAAACAAAGAUAAUGAUGAAUCAAAAAUACCAGGUCUUCAUGUCUUGCCAAUAGUUGGAAUUGGGGGUAUUGGUAAGACCUGUUUGGCCCAACAUGUUUGCAAUCAUCCAGAUAUAAGGUCUCACUUCAACCUAAUAAUUUGGAUUUGCGUAUCGGAUGACUUCGAUGUUAUUAGGUUGACUAAGGAGGCCAUAGAAUCCUGCUCUGGAGAAAGGCCAACAUCAGAUCAUUUGGGUACACUUCAGCAUGCUCUUUCUGAACACGUGAGGGACAAAAAGGUCUUCAUUAUCCUUGAUGACCUGUGGGGUGAUGCUUUCAAGGAAGACAGUAAAUAUUGGAAUAUAUUUUGUGCACCUUUAAAAAACAAUGGACGGGAAAGUUUGAUGUUGGUCACUACUAGAUCUCCUAUGGUUGCUCGUAAGGUCUGCACAAUGGAUCCCUUUACAUUGCAUGGUUUGUGGGGUGUGCCCUUAUGGAAUUUCUUCAAACAAUGCAUAUUUGGGUCCGAGAGUUCUAACAAUGAUCCCAAUUUAGAGCACAUUGGUAUGAGCAUUCGUCAUAAGUUGGUGGGUUCUCCUUUAGCUGCGAAAACUGUUGGACUCCUGUUAAGAAUGGACCUUUGUGCAUCACAUUGGAAUUAUGUAUUGGGGAGUGAACUGUGGGAGUUGAAACAAGAGAAGACUGACAUUUUGCCUUCUCUUCAGUUGAGCUAUAUGUAUUUACCAUUCCAUUUGAGGAGAUGUUUUGCAUUCUGUGCUGUGUACCCCAAGAAUUACAGAUUUCAAAAGAAGAACUUAGCUGAAAUUUGGGUGGCCGAAGGAUUUGUGGAACCUGAAGGUGACAUUAAAGCUACAGAUAUUGGUUGUCGGUACUUUGAAGAACUUGUGAAUGAGUCAUUCUUUCGACAAGUCUCCGGCUCAUACAAAAUACCUCAUUUGAUGCAUGACAUGGCAAAACUAGUUUCAAGGAAUGACUGCUUCAUCAUAAGAGAAAAUGCUGACUUUGGAAAAGUUCCUCGGAAUGUUCGUCAUCUGUCAAUACUCUCUGGGGAAGACUUUAAGAAAGCAGACUUGUUGAGCCUGUGCAAGCACACAAAGCUGCGUACCCUACUUUGCAAUGAACUUUCUGGGAGUGAUGAUAUAUCUGCUGUGAUGGACCAUUGGUGCAGUGGCCUUCACCGUCUGCGCGUGAUGUGUUGUGCCUCUACAAAGGAAUUACCAGAUAGCCUUGGCAACUUGAAGCAUCUUCGAUACCUUGACAUCUCCAAAGCUUGUCCUUUGAACAGACUUCCUUCGGCGUUCUGUUACCUAUACAGAUUACAGUUUGUAUAUGCCAGGAAAUGCAAGAUUGUAAUCCUGGUCGAUGACUUCAGUAAGUUGAUCAGUUUAAGGAGAUUUGACUCAGAUGGAUUUGUGUAUAAUGCAGGGUGUGACCUAGAUAUUGAUGCGACCGGUAGGCAUGGACUAGGCAUUGGAUUGAAAAAGAAUUGGUCGGAUCUUAAAGUUUUGCGCAUAUAUAAUCUUGGGAUGAUAAGUAAGGAUGCUGUAGCAGAGGUGGAACUGAAGAAUAAGCAAUGUCUCCACAACCUGAAACUGGAAUGGUCUAUGGAUAGUUAUUGGUACAAUAGUAGGCGCUGUGAGGAAGAAAUUCUCUCGGCGAAAGAGAAUGAUAUAAAAGUGCUUCAAGUGUUAGAACCUCCCUCCAUUCUCAAGUCUCUGCUCGUCAAGGGCUAUGGAGGGGUGUCUCUUCCAAGCUGGUGUGGGCCAGAAAACUCGCCAAGCUCAGCAUCACUGACACUUGAUACUAGUGAUGGACUAGAGAGCAUACCUUUGCCAGAGAGCACAUCGCUAUCCAGGACCUCACAGCGGAUAGAACUAAACGAGAUGCCCGUGGAGUUGCUAGUUAACAGUAACAAAGAAACCAUUGGCAUUUUCCCGUUCCUGACAGAGCUCGAAAUUUUUGGGUGCCGAAAUUUAUCUAGCGUCGAACAACUCGUACAUCCAGCUUAUAUUCCAGCCAUCAAGAAAAUAAAAAUAUGGCAUUGCCCAAGCUUAGAAUCGUGUGGAAGUUUUGUGGGUUUCCAUUGUCUCGAGGAACUGGAGGUGACCAAGUGCCCAAACAUUAACAACUCCCAAUGUUUGGUGUCGCCCUCUCUCAAGAUGCUCGUGCUGGGUGAUAGUGGGUCGAGUCCAGCUGGAAUUAACUGUGGUAAUCUCGCGGAAAAUAUAGAGUGCUGCUCUCUCACCAAUUUUAAGUUAUCAUGCGAUGGUCUGACAUCCAUCCAACUGCAAAACUGGAAUGUUCCAGCUCUGUUGGAGUUGAACAUUUCACAUUGUGGAUCUCUCAAAAGUAUUGGGCAAUCUGGACAAAUCUUCCCAAACAUUUCAGUUUGUGGCAGCACCGUUAGAGGAGGAUUCUCGUUCCUUACUUCCCUAAGAAUUCACAAGUGUGACAAGCUGUCAACCAUUGAUAAGCUCCUAUCAGAAGAAUAUCUACCUGUCGUUGACGAGAUAGAGUUUACAGAAUGUGACAAGUUAGUGUCGCUGCCUGUUGAAAUUGGGAGUUUAUCUUGUCUGCGUCGUUUGAAGAUUGCGGAAUGUGCCAGUAUCAGAUGGCCAAGCGGAUUGGUGUUCCCAUCUUCCCUCCAACGGCUCUACUUAAUGGACUGUGGGGACAUGUCUGCAUUUGUUCACAGCUGCCUACAGAGCCUCACAUGCCUUGUCUCACUGACGCUGAAGAAAUGUCCGGGUCUAACAUUCAUUCCAGAACAAGUAUGGAGCAGUAGCCUCAAAUCACUGGAGCAACUGUUGAUUGCACAAUGUCCAGACCUUGUGUCAAUCGGUGGAGCAAGGGCAAUCGCAGAAGUGCCGACGGUGUACAUUACCAACUGUCCAAAGUUGGAGGACCUAAAGCAGCUGACGAGAGGAUCUCACUUUAACUGGUGA
rnacentral:rRNA from 1 species